CUUUCUCUCAAAUCCAAGUGAAAAGAAGACCUCGGUCCAGUGAAACUGCCCCUGUGUGGAGGCAUUGGCAAGCCUUGCCUACAGGUCUGAGGGCUUCCUGGCAGUGUCUGGAUCUCUCAGGACGGUGGUAAGCUCGCCCGUAGGUCAUGCUCUGAUUAUUAAUGGAGCCCACGCUGGAGGUAGGGUGUGAGGGUCAGGGAGACAUCUGCAGCCCAAGGGUCCUACAAGACGGUGGUGUCGUCCUAAAUUAGUACUAAUACCUCAUGUAUCAUCCCAGCACCCCUUAAGAGGUAUGUGAUGUUUGCCACGAGUGAAAGGUGAGCACUGGAGCCUCAGAGAUGAGUCCUCAAAGGUCAUGCAGUAAACUCAGGAGUCUGACCUUGAGCCCAAACCUCAAAAUUCCACGUUCCUUCCACUUUCCAUUAUGGCCUUGAUUUCAACAGACAUCAGAUCUCAAACACAGACCUUUGUGCCCUUGGGGAACUGCCUGCUAGUGGGCACGGAUGAGGGGAUGGGAGCAGGGCGAGAGCGAGGAGGUACUGCCUCCCAGGCCUCUUGGAACUAUGAUCUGACCAGUCAGGGCAGGUCCCUGGGGGCAAUGGCUGCUGUCGGAUCUCCGUGGUGGACUCUGUGGUGCUUGGAUUCAGCAUACACGAGGGAACUUCCCAUCAGGCCCACGGAGCCCUCUCCCUCUGGCUCUGGGGCUGGGAUGUUCUCCAUGGUUCCCCAGUGACCGGCGGGCCUAAGCGUCUUCCUCCCAGAGUUGUUGCCAGGACACUGGAGAGGACGGGAGGAUGCUUCCCUAUGUGCACUGCCUCUGACAGAGAAAGGGUGCCCAGAGUUGGUGGGGCAGGGUCCUGCGGAAUAUCCACGCAGUGGGGCACAUGGCCUCCUCCAGCUGUCAACUCAGAAUACUGGUAAACCCUUGAUUGGCCAUGGCUGGUCAAGGGCUGCUUCCUGCUACAGAGAGUCUACAGGUCUGCUGUGGACCCUGGCUCUGGGAAGGGAGAAGGAACCAAAGGACAGAGGCCUCGGAGAAGGCACAGGGAGAAAACACAUGAAUGGUACACAGGAUUUCACAUGAUAACCCAGACCAUAGGGAAGGAACUGGGUGGCGACACUGGGUCAGCACUUGUCGGGAGCGAGGUGGGGCCCCAUGUGGAUACAUGUUAGUCACACAGUGGGCUGCACAGUCCAGGGCCUUGUACCAACGGAGGGUACGUUGAGAAGGCAGUUAGUUGGCUGAGCCGCACAGGCCCCGGGGCACCAGAACCCGCUUAUAGCAAUGCCUCUCCUGAAUUCCUGAAUGCAGAGCCCAGACCCCAGGAGAACCACCACCUCAGGGACGUGGCUCCUACAUGUGAAGGGUUUUGUGCAAUCGAGGACGAUCUGGUCACUGGUCUGGGGAGAUUUCCAGUGCUCCAGACAACCCCGUGGCUGACGUGGUGAUAUUCCUGGUCCAGCAGGCAGAGCCAGGAGGUCCCUCCAGGCAGGUGGUUCUGCAGGUGCUAGACCUGCUGGAUCCCUUAUUUCCCCCACAGCUCAGGGACAGUCUGUCUCCUUUGGGUUCUCUGCUCUAGGGCCCCUGCCCAUUCUCUGCUCCAGGCGUCUUCCUGCUUCUUGGUGCUGUUCCCUAGAUUGAUUUCUGGUGGAGGCUCUGCACAAGUUUGUAUCUUAACCUCUUCCUUCCUGUGUCAAGGGGAGAGGUCAGGUCACCCUGAUCAGAGCAAGGAAAGCCAGAGGCAUUUGGAAAUGUCACAAAAAGGGAGAGAGAAAGAGAGAAUAAUAGACUAAAGCAUCUUAACAUUUGUAGAAUAUUUUAGUUUAUACUCAUCCUAAACUGCUGGCCCCUGGAGGCAGAAUUUCACGUUUAUUUUUAUUUGCUUUUAUAUUUUCAGGGAAUGAGAGAAAGAGACAGAGGGUGUGUGAGCAGCAGGGGAGGGGAUGGGGAGAGAGAAUCCCAAACAGGCUCCAUGCACAGCUCAAUCCCACUGAGACCUGAGUGGCCUCAGGACUGGCCCUGAGAUCAUGACAAGCUUGCCAGCACCCUAAGAAUUGAACUUUUAGAUGGUUUUGCUUGACUGCCAUGGUGAUUUUAAAAAUACUAGUCAUGCACAUGCCUUUCAGGAGGGUGGCUUGCCCCCAGGACUCCUUCCUCUCGUCUGUCUGGCCCCUGAGGACAUCGGACCAGCUUCCCCAGUUUUGUUGACAAAUAACUGACACACGAGGUUGUGUGAGCUCCAGGUGCUCAGCAAGGUGUGACGUGUUUUGCUGCAGGAAGACUGGGGCCCAGCCUUCACCUCCUGGCAUCACCAUUCCGUCGUGCUGAGAGCUUUUACCAUCUAGUCCCAGCAGCAAGUUUUGAAUAUACAGUAGGCACAGUUAACUGCCGGGGCCACACCCCACCAGGUCCUUGUACCUGAUUUGUCUCACUCCAGGGAGUCUGCAGCUCCCAACUCGUGUUUCUUCAUCUGUCCCCAGCAGCCCUGUCCUGCAGCAUCUCUGUUCCUGAACACUGAGCUUGUGGUGCCACCGUCUUUGUCUUCAUCUUCGUCUGAAACUUCACACAGCAUCACCCCCUCAAGAUGCUGUUGAUGUGACGCCUUUAGGUUCAUGCGUGUUGUUGCCAUGGCAAGAUUUCAUCUUCCAGAGGCUGAGAAACAUUCCCUCACGUGUGCAUCUGCCGCAUUGUGCGUAUUUAUCUCGUUGUCUGCAGGGACGCUUGGGCUGCUUCCAUGUCAUGGCUGCUGUAGGCACUGCUGCGGUGAACUCAGGGCUGCAUCCAUCCCUUCAAACUUGUCAUUUCUUUGCAUAGAUGCUCGGCAAUAGGAUGACUGGAUUGUACGGCAUUCCUAUUGCUAACUUACUCCAUCCUGGCCAGCCCAGCAGCUUGGAGGCUCCUGCAGGAGCACCGGCAUCUCAGGUUUUCUUAUCAAUUCCAUAAGCCCCUCUGUGCCUCUCGACUGGAUGAUUAAUCUGUUUCCACUUAAAGUCUUCGGUGACAGGAAAGGCUCAACCGCAGGAUCAGGAAACUCAGAAGAGAGCUGAAGGAGCUUGGAUGGCUCAGGGCACAGGAGGAGGAGAAGCUGCAGGAGCAAUCCACAGAAAUUAGAGGCUGAUUUAUAGUACCACAGAAAUCCAGCCCUCAGGUGACUGACAUGAGCUGUGCCAACAGUGUGAGUGAGCUUGAUGGACCUCUAGAUGGGGCCUAGCCCCACUGGACCGGGGCCGUGGCCUCAUGAGACCUGGUUGCAUCUGGGCGUGGCCCUGUGAGACCCCAGCAGAGGGCCAACAAGUUCGAGGACACUCAGAGGCGCUACCCACUGUGGUCGCGAGCACAGCCUGGAGCCAGACCAUCGGAUCCAAGUGUGUGAUAUGUCUCAUGUGUGUCUACAGAUUUGGGGCCAGCUGUCAGCCUCCACCUGCUGGAUUGUCUCAUGCAUGCAGUAGGGCCACUCAUGAUGGCACCAACCUCAUAGGUUUGAAUUAAUGUGUCAAAUAUUUAAUACAGUGACCACCUACCCUGA